UCCUUGUUAGUACAAUGGCUAGUAUACGGCACUUUCACUUUCCCGUAGGGGGUGUGAGGUAUCUGCUGAGAUCGGGGUUCAAUUCCCCGGCAGGGAA